rnacentral:rRNA from 1 species
UCGAUCCUAAGCCAACUGUGAAAGCAGUGACAUCCCGACAAAGGGGCCGAAUACGUGCGCCGUACUUACACCCCCACAGCAAAGUUCUCUCACACUCUCUCUGUCUGACGACAAGGUGACGGCAAAAGAAAUGCGCACACACGGUGAUCACUACAAAUACGUGUGAGUGUGUGCGCUUGUUUGGUUACGCUCAAAAGCGUUGAUGGGGCUCUGCAAUGCGAGAGAGGUAGAGAGAGCGUGGGUGCGCGUGAGUUACCUGCACGAGCCUUCUGAGUUGGUUCUAUGUCUGGCGAAAGGGAAUGGGGACUUUGUUCCUUGACCGGUCCCGGCACCCUCGAUAGGCUUUGCCAUUCAAUGGUCCAUGCAAAUGGAACCAGGCCACAGCCGCCGGCAGUCGCCCGAGGAAGAGUUUUCUUUUCUGCUUAACGCACGAGGUCAUCCCUGGAAACAGUUCGGCUGGCGAAAGGGUGCCCCGUUGCGGCAGAGCGCCACGACUGUCGUGCGCGUCUCGGUGUUCCUGCCGGUCCGUGAAGACGUGGUCGAGGGGAUUGCUCUUGUAUCAACGAAACGCCCGACAAGUUCGGGACGGACCGUACCCUAUAUCCGCAUCUGGUCUCCAGGU